GAAGCAUCAUAACAUGGUAAAGGGCAUCAUGUGGCCAGCUAGCCAGAGAAAGCUGAUUUCUAUAAUAAAAGCACUCCCUGGUGUUGGGAGCCGUGGCACUGUCAAGUCAUCAGACGCGGUGAUUGCGAGGCCUGUGGGAAAGUACAAAAGCCUGGGCUAGAUUACCCCUCUCAUCGAGCCCGCCUGUGUGGCACCUGUUUCUUAUCACCCCACUAAGUUCCCGCCUCACAGGGUAGUCUGCCUAGCUAUUAAUCCUAUAUAUAGCCAGUGCCUCCACCCCCGAGAGAGAGAGAGACAGAAGCACAAAAGGAGCCGCGGGGAGCGGACCGGUAGAGGCUUCGGGGCAGACUGUAUAAGGAGAGAAUAAAGAAAAGCCUGACCACCGCCAGACCUUGUCGUGUGUCUUUCCUGCCGGCCGGGAGCGGACAUCGACAUUUGGUGGCCCGCACGGGGAUUGAUCAACCCCGAGACGCGGCGGUGGACUGCAUUCUCCUACACAGUGCUGCAGCUGCAGGACAGGAAUCGGGACGAGAACCAAUGUGGGUCCCAGAGAGGUUGACGCGACAAGUCCCUCGACUGAAGAUCAGGCCUGUUCCACCAGAGGCCAACCGCAGACCCAACAACAAGAUGAGCCCUAAAAGAACUGCAGGACAAUCCCUUUUUGGGGGCCUGGAACGGCUUGCUCCCCUAUGUGCUACCCUUGUAUACGCAUGGCUCGCUCGCAUGGCCUACGACCGCGUUUAAAAGUGACAGGCUUCCCACAUUCUCCUCCCUAGACAACAACAUGUAGCAGGGUGGGUGAGUCAAUGACGGGUAAGAGCGUGCCUCCCCAGCACGACUCAACCUAAGCCAGGCCCUACCCCGUUCCGCUCGAAAGCCGCUGGAUUGUUAGAUAAGUUUCUCUCCGAGGGGAUUCGUGGAGAGAAAUGAGUGCAUGCCUAUGUGCAACCAGGUUCCGUCCGGUUCAUUCCUGGCCCUAGAAAAAAGGACGAGGGCCUCAGGGCCUUGGUGGACCCUGGGACGGCCGACCAGGGUCUACGCUAAGGGCCUACGGUGGGCCUCAGUUCGGGGCAUAGGCCUCUGCACUCUAUCCAGGACGGGCUGCGAUGCGCGUAGCCAUCAUUUAAAAUAAAAUAGGGGGAGAUGUUGGGAGCCGUGGCACUGUCAAGUCAUCAGACGCGGUGAUUGCGAGGCCUGUGGGAAAGUACAAAAGCCUGGGCUAGAUUACCCCUCUCAUCGAGCCCGCCUGUGUGGCACCUGUUUCUUAUCACCCCACUAAGUUCCCGCCUCACAGGGUAGUCUGCCUAGCUAUUAAUCCUAUAUAUAGCCAGUGCCUCCACCCCCGAGAGAGAGAGAGACUGAAGCACAAAAGGAGCCGCGGGGAGCGGACCGGUAGAGGCUUCGGGGCAGACUGUGUAAGGAGAGAAUAAAGAAAAGCCUGACCACCGCCA